rfam:Angiostrongylus costaricensis strain Costa Rica genome assembly, scaffold: ACOC_scaffold0002469
UCCCAUGUGGUCUAGUGGUUAUGAUUCGUGGUUUUCACCCACGCGUGAUGGGUUCGAUUCCCGGUUUGGGAA